UGUGCGUAGUUUUUCCAAUUAACUAUUAGUACGGUAAAAACUAGGAAAUAAGUUGAGUUCGAAAAUAUUGUCAGAUAAAAUAGUUGUAACUGGAAUUCAUGAUGGUUAUUUUUGUUUUCGCAUGUAUAGUUGAAAUGUUCUUGUUUCAAGGAGUUUUCUCGAAAUCGAUACAAAAUAUAACCCAAUAUGAAAACAAAAUAGAUGCUUUAGAAAAAUCUAUGGAACUUCUGGAGACACGUUUAAACAACUUAACUGGAAUUGUGUACAAUGUGACCAAACGUCAAGGCAAGGGGAAAAAACAUCAGCUUUUUUAUGUCGAAUUGAACACUAAUACAGUAUUAAAUGUCAAUUCUAUUGUGAAAUUUAACGACGAAAAGAUUGACGAAGGAAAUAACUUUAAUACAGGUGAUGGAAUCUUUGUUGCACCAGUCUCUGGGAUUUAUUUAUUUACGUGGACUAUGCAAACUUACAGUGGUAAAAAUGUUAAUACUGAAUUAAGGGUGCAAAAUUCUGUUAAAGGAAGACAACACACAAAUUUAGGAUCGUCAGUUGGAAACUUUGCAACAACAAGAAAUGUACUUUGUAUUGUGAGCAAGGAUGACCAUGUUUGGAUUCAAACUAGCCGUUACUAUUCAGAAAACACUUUAGAUAUAUCAAAUGAAUCAAAGUGCUCGUUUAUGGGAAUAUUGAUUCAUGAAAUUUGAAAAAAAAUGAAUUCAUAGUCAUGUUAUUUCUUUUAUGCAGCCAAUAUAUCGAAUUACAAAAGAGACUAUUGACAGUUUCAAUACAUUGUUUUGAUCUUUCGUUGUAAGCUAUAUGAGAAGUUUUACGUUUGUACACACGGAUAUUAUACCUUUACAUACUGCAAGUUUCCAGAUAAAGGAGAGGACCGGUUUGACCAAAAACCUAGUUGUUGAAAUUGUUAAGAGAAAACAUAACAUCAAGGAUCACCUCGAAUACUUUGUAAAUUGAUGUAUGGAUUAAAAACUUAAGAUUCUAUGUCAGUUCAUGUUUUUCAAGAUUUGAUUUAUUAAAGAAGCAAAGGUUUUUUUUAA